rnacentral:miRNA from 1 species
AUACAAAUUAUUUAGGGAUCUUGUUAAAUGCAAAUUUUGAUUCAGUAGGUCUAGGGUAGAGCUUAAGAGUCUGGAUUUCUAACAAAUUCCCAAGUGAUAACAAU